GACCUACUCCUGUGCCUGAGUUUCCCAGAGCUUCUGGCUUCCAGAACUAAGAGGAUCCAUCUCUGUGGCUUUCAACGGCACCGUCUGUGGUGAUCAGAGUGUGAAGUAGAAUAGCCGUGGAUGAAGAGAGAAGGUCAACGUGGCACUGAACACCAUUACCAUCUAUUCUGCCUGGCUUAAGGGAUGACCCAACAACGAUCUGGUCCAUGAGCCUCUGAGCUUCAUUGCCUGGGAAAGAUGGGCAGUCCCCCUUCAUCAGUCACUUAAAACUGUUACGGUGCAAGGGAAAUUAAAAAGAUGACUGAAGAGGUGGCCUGCUUGCUUAGAGAAGUCUCUCAAAUGUAGACAUCCAAGACGUACCUCCAG
rnacentral:lncRNA from 1 species